UACAGAGGGGGCAAGCGUUAUUCGGAAUUAUUGGGCGUAAAGGGCGCGUAGGCGGCGUCUCAAGUGGAUGGUGAAAUCCCCGGGCUUAACCUGGGAACUGCCGUCCAAACUGAGAGGCUUGAGUCCGGGAGAGGUAAGUGGAAUUCCCAGUGUAGCGGUGAAAUGCGUAGAUAUUCGCAAGAACACCAGUGGCGAAGGCGGCUCACUGGCCCGGUACUGACGCUGAGGUGCGAAAGCGUGGGGAGCAAACAGG
rnacentral:rRNA from 1 species